rnacentral:lncRNA from 1 species
AAUUAUAACGGAGACCACUGUCACGGGACCGAGAAACCGUGAAGCAUGCUCAUAGGUGUGCACGUACGCACGUAGACAUAUAAAUCGCUCCUUUCUUCGAAUUUGAUUCGGAAACACGGAGACCAAUUUCGAUAGUACCUACCAAACGAGUCUGUGUACAUGCGCGCACGUGUGUGUGCAGUUUAACCGUUAUACAUUGGCAAUACUGUAGUCAAUGGAUUAUACGUAUACAUUAAAUUCUAACCAUUAUAAUAAAUGCGGUCUGUUUAGCAGAUAUUAAAAUACUAUUGUUAUUAAAAUCUAAUUACCAAUUGGUAUCAGUGAUCAAAUGCGGAAAAAAUUUUAUACGAUUAAAUAAAAAGUAGAAAAAGUGAAUAUUUUCGUAUAAAAUAAUCUAUGGAUAAGGAAAAAGAGAAAAAAAAAAGAUAGAACCGAAGGUCGGAAAGGAAGUAAUCACCAAACGCAAACUCAAUUAUCAAGUUCGUUUUCCUUGAUCAAAGUAGAAGCGGAAGUUGUCGGAACGUUGGAGAUAAGCGGGCUAAAUCGUCGACAUGGUUACGGUACACCUGACCUCGUCAUCUUUCCUUCUCAGUUCCUCUGACCCUUAGCCGCAACUAAUAACUCGCUCUUUUUCUUUUCCCGAGGAACUACAAACUAAUCUACGACACAGGCGUGCGCGCUCGUUCUCACACACACACACACACACACACACACACACACACACACACACACACACUCGUGAUCGCGGAUAUGCUAUUGCCUCGAGGGAAAUAUUCCGCUUGCGUGAUUCUCUUAGUCGGUCGAUCGUUCGACCUGGAAAGAUCGAUCAUAUCGUAGAUCUUAAGACAACUGUUCAAUCAGUAAAAAAUAAUAGUCAUCUAUAUAAAAAUGGGAAUAAAAAGAGGAAAUUCUUUAAGGAUACAUUAGGACGAGACUUGAUCAUCCCGGUUGGAAGAGGAGGCUAGGUUUAAGCAACUCUGUGGAAGUUGCGGGCAGGGUCGGUUGGCCCGAGGGCGGCGGCAACUAUUAUAAACUGUAGCACCUCGAACUACCGCCUCCGGUCCCUCUUCUCCCACCCAUCUCCUCCUCUCUUCUUCCUCAUGCUUCCACUCUUCCUACCCCCGGUUACUCUCCUGCUCGCCACCUCCUCUUCCUUCCUGGACAACCCCACUAUUGCACCGUUCACCGUCUACGUUCGCUUCGAACGCUCGACUCGCCGUCUCCACACCGCCCCCAAAUAACCCAAGGGUCCUGCCGAACUAAACCCACCCCCUACAACUCAGCCCGGUCUCUCUACGAGUAGCCUCUCUCUUCUACGUCGUACCCUCUAAUCAAUCAACCCCCAGGCAUUUCAGCCGGUCCGCGCCAGGGAUCGCGGCUUUGUCAGUCUUUAGAGAGACGUCUCUCUAUCUCCAAGAAUGAGAGAGAGAGAGAGAGAGAGAGAGAGUAUACGGCUAGUACCGAAGCGUUAACCUUACUACGUUACUAUUUCCGUUACGAGUCUAGAGUUCUCUUGAAGCUUUGCUCAGCAACAUUGCUGUUGCGGAAUCUCUUUGAGGCAGUCCGAGUUCAAGAUUAAAAGCUCCAGAGUACACGGCGACCCAGUUACGCGAUAUCGAUACUCAAGGCCUUUGACCGGACUUCCCUACCGAAUCCUUGCCUCUUAAGACAAAAAAAUCCUACCUAAUCUCUGUAAAUUCAACUUAAAGAAUGAUAUGUCGAUCUUAAAGAAUUUUGGCUUAUCAGAAAAUGAUGCACUUAGGAGGAGAUUCUUUGUGGUAGCAGUCGAUAACAGGCACAGUGUAGUUAAUAGGUAAUUAUCACGGUGCGAUUUUGCUCGGCAGCCAAUUCCAUUCAUUUCCUCGAUAUCUUGGGAGCAGCGACCGCUUGUCAUCCAUUGGCUUUCACGAUCGUGUGUGCGUAUCUACGUAAUGUUCGAAUAUCUGCCCUUUUCUCAUUCCUACUCUCCACUGUUAGCAGCUCAUCGACGCGAAACAUAGUUGCAAGAGGAAAUGGAGUAAUUAUAAGGAAAUAACAGGCGUCGCCCAUGUGGUAGAUUAGCAUUGAAACCUUUGACGGGAAUCGCAUUCUCUCGGACGUAUUGGCACGCAUGCUUUAUCUUCUAAUUAUUAGAAUCUUCUUACACUACUCGAACUACAUCGUAAUUUCUACAUCGUAACGCAAUCGAAUCGAAUGGUAAAGGAAGAGAAAGAGGAAUUAAUAAUUCUCCUUCAUUACUAUUCUCCAUAAUACGAAAUACUUAUACUAUUCAUUAAGUUAUAUAGAGUUAAUCUUUAAUUUAUUAUAAUUAUUUCCACAUUCUUUAUCACAAUAAUAUAAAUCAAUAUUGUAAACGUCAUUUCAAAAAUGUUUCCCAAUGAUCUGGUGAUGAUAGAAGUUACUCUUAAACAAAUCCAAGAAGAUUAAUUGUAAGCAGAGAAAAUAAAAAUAAAUACUAGAUU